GAUGAACGCUGGCGGCGUGCCUAACACAUGCAAGUCGAGCGAUCUUCUUCGGAAGAGAGCGGCGGACGGGUGAGUAACGCGUGGGUAACCUGCCCUGUACACACGGAUAACAUACCGAAAGGUAUGCUAAUACGAGAUAAUAUGCUUUUAUCGCAUGGUAGAAGUAUCAAAGCUCCGGCGGUACAGGAUGGACCCGCGUCUGAUUAGCUAGUUGGUAAGGUAACGGCUUACCAAGGCGACGAUCAGUAGCCGACCUGAGAGGGUGAUCGGCCACAUUGGAACUGAGACACGGUCCAAACUCCUACGGGAGGCAGCAGUGGGGAAUAUUGCACAAUGGGCGAAAGCCUGAUGCAGCAACGCCGCGUGAGCGAUGAAGGCCUUCGGGUCGUAAAGCUCUGUCCUCAAGGAAGAUAAUGACGGUACUUGAGGAGGAAGCCCCGGCUAACUACGUGCCAGCAGCCGCGGUAAU
rnacentral:rRNA from 1 species